UACAGAGGGUGCGAGCGUUAAUCGGAAUUACUGGGCGUAAAGCGUGCGUAGGCGGUCGUGUAAGUCGGGUGUGAAAGCCCCGGGCUCAACCUGGGAAUUGCAUUCGAAACCGCACGGCUGGAGUGCGGAAGAGGGAAGCGGAAUUUCCGGUGUAGCGGUGAAAUGCGUAGAUAUCGGAAGGAACAUCAGUGGCGAAAGCGGCUUCCUGGUCCAGCACUGACGCUCUGGCACGAAAGCGUGGGGAGCAAACAGG
rnacentral:rRNA from 1 species